rnacentral:rRNA from 1 species
UCGCCUGUUUAUUCAAAAACAUCGCCUCUUGUAAAAGUAUAAGAGGUCCAGCCUGCCCAGUGACUUGUUUAACGGCCGCGGUAUAUUAACCGCGCGAAGGUAGCGUAAUCACUUGUUUUUUAAAUCAAGACUAGUAUGAAAGGCAUCACGAGGGUCAAACUGUCUCCUUUUUCUAAUCAGUGAAACUAAUCUUCCCGUGAAGAAGCGGGAAUUACUAUAUAAGACGAGAAGACCCUAUGGAGCUUCAAACUGUAAGUCAUUUGUCUACCCCUUCCUCUAUUUCAGAAACAUAACACCCAGGACUCAUUGACCCUACGUUUUAGGUUGGGGUGACCUAGGAGUAAAACUCACCCUCCUAGCUGACACGGGUUAGCCCCUAAGAAAAAAGCCACAACUUUAGCCAUCAAUAAAUUGACAUCUAUUGACCCAGCACGCUGAGCAACGAACCAAGUUACCCUAGGGAUAACAGCGCAAUCUACUUCAAGAGUCCCUAUCGACAAGUGGGUUUACGACCUCGAUGUUGGAUCAGGGUUUCCGAGUGGUGCAACCGCUACUGAAGGUU